rnacentral:rRNA from 1 species
AGUGAGCGCUGGCGGUAGGCCUAACACAUGCAAGUCGAACGGCAGCACAGUAAGAGCUUGCUCUUACGGGUGGCGAGUGGCGGACGGGUGAGGAAUACAUCGGAAUCUACUUUUUCGUGGGGGAUAACGUAGGGAAACUUACGCUAAUACCGCAUACGACCUACGGGUGAAAGCAGGGGAUCUUCGGACCUUGCGCGAUUGAAUGAGCCGAUGUCGGAUUAGCUAGUUGGCGGGGUAAAGGCCCACCAAGGCGACGAUCCGUAGCUGGUCUGAGAGGACGAUCAGCCACACUGGAACUGAGACACGGUCCAGACUCCUACGGGAGGCAGCAGUGGGGAAUAUUGGACAAUGGGCGCAAGCCUGAUCCAGCCAUACCGCGUGGGUGAAGAAGGCCUUCGGGUUGUAAAGCCCUUUUGUUGGGAAAGAAAAGCAGCAGGUUAAUACCCCGCUGUUCUGACGGUACCCAAAGAAUAAGCACCGGCUAACUUCGUG